GCAGCGAGCAAAUGAACAGGAGCCUGGUGACAAUAAGGGAUGACAGGCGACGAGGUUGGAGGCAGGAAGGACACACUCGAAUUCUGGCGAUUUGGACCCACAGAAGCUGCUGACCAAGGACUGGAGAAACUGAGGCCACAGAGGGAGACUCGAGCUCACCUGGGAAGGCCAAGCAGCUAUGAGCAUGCGCAAGCCUGAGGAAAUGAGUCAGAAGAAAGCAAGGACAUCAAAGUGAUAACGAGAGUGCUGAGUGUUUUAAAUUAUGAGACAAAAAGAGGUCCCCCCUCCCCCCUACUCACCCUGUACCAUUGAAUCUCUACAUAAUCGUAUAUAAAGCAAUAAAAUGUG